rnacentral:tRNA from 1 species
CGGGGCGUGGCGGAACAGGCAGACGCGGCGGUCUCAGAAACCGUUGUCGAAAGACGUGCGGGUUCAAAUCCCGCCGCCCCGA